ACACAUGCAAGUCGAGGGGCAGCAUGAUUGAAGCUUGCUUCAAUUGAUGGCGACCGGCGCACGGGUGAGUAACGCGUAUCCAACCUUCCGUACACUCAGGGAUAGCCUUUCGAAAGAAAGAUUAAUACCUGAUGGUAUGAUGAGAUUGCAUGAUAGCAUCAUUAAAGAUUUAUCGGUGUACGAUGGGGAUGCGUUCCAUUAGGUAGUAGGCGGGGUAACGGCCCACCUAGCCUACGAUGGAUAGGGGUUCUGAGAGGAGGGUCCCCCACAUUGGAACUGAGACACGGUCCAAACUCCUACGGGAGGCAGCAGUGAGGAAUAUUGGUCAAUGGACGAGAGUCUGAACCAGCCAAGUAGCGUGAAGGAUGAAGGUCUUACGGAUUGUAAACUUCUUUUAUAAGGGAAUAAAACCUCCCACGUGUGGGAGCUUGUAUGUACCUUAUGAAUAAGCAUCGGCUAACUCCGUGCCAGCAGCCGCGGUAAUACGGAGGAUGCGAGCGUUAUCCGGAUUUAUUGGGUUUAAAGGGAGCGCAGACGGGUCGUUAAGUCAGCUGUGAAAGUUUGGGGCUCAACCUUAAAAUUGCAGUUGAUACUGGCGUCCUUGAGUGCGGUUGAGGUGUGCGGAAUUCGUGGUGUAGCGGUGAAAUGCUUAGAUAUCACGAAGAACUCCGAUUGCGAAGGCAGCCUGCUAAGCUGCAACUGACAUUGAGGCUCGAAAGUGUGGGUAUCAAACAGGAUUAGAUACCCUGGUAGUCCACACGGUAAACGAUGAAUACUCGCUGUUUGCGAUAUACUGCAAGCGGCCAAGCGAAAGCGUUAAGUAUUCCACCUGGGGAGUACGCCGGCAACGGUGAA
rnacentral:rRNA from 1 species